UACGAAGGGUCCAAGCGUUGUUCGGAAUCAUUGGGCGUAAAGCGCGCGCAGGCGGAUCAGUAAGUCAGAUGUGAAAUCUCAGGCUCAACCCUGAAACUGCGUCUGAAACUACUAGUCUAGAGUGUCGGAGGGGGUAGGGGAAUUUCACGUGUAGGGGUAAAAUCCGUAGAGAUGUGAAGGAACACCGGAGGCGAAGGCGCCUGCCUGGACGACUACUGACGCUGAGGCGCGAAACGUGGGGAGCAAACAGG
rnacentral:rRNA from 1 species